rnacentral:lncRNA from 1 species
AAAGAGGGAGUGAAGGUCUCUGAAAAUGUAGGAGUCCCUUUAGUAGAUGGGGAGAAAUGGGUUAAAGAUUUUUAAAAAUUGCACAGACAGUAGUUGUUUGCUCUUUGGUUACAGGUGAAUUAUCUCUAUCCUAGUUAGGAGUGGAGGACUGAAGUAUGUCUCAAUGCACAAACUAAGGCUGUGCAGGCUUGGAAAGAAAUUUUCUUUUGUAAUAAAAGGCUAGGCCCCUUGCUAUAGACAUGAGUGAUUAGUUACAAUAGGUUAUUGGGGGUAUCAUCCAGGUAAUGAAAUGUUCAACAAGAAGAUUAUAAAGGUAACUAGAUUUGCCCCAUGGAUUUUGCCCAGUGGUUUUGAAGGCAAAACAAGAUUAAUUUGAAUAUGUAAGGAAGAAAAAUAACUUGGGAUUGAUGAGGGGCUGAUUUUUUACAUUUAUAAAAGCCUGAUGGUGUCAACUACAAAUUUAAAAUCUGUAUUGGGUAUACACAGAACAAUCUCUAGUGUGGCACCAGAUUAAUGGGGGUACCUUGAAAAAUCAGGUCAGAAUAAAGUGACAGAAAUUAUAAAACAUACAUGAUAAUGAUAAUAAACAAGACAUUUAUUUUUCAUACUCUUUUGGGGGAAAGGAAAAAAAUCAGUUUGCCCUACCCAAUGAUGGUCUUUCUGAAAGAUUCUCCAUUCAUUCCAUAGAACUGGAUAGGUUGCUUCAUCUCAGAGGAUUUUGUACUCUUAAUUCAUAAAGAGAACUUCUCUUCAGGAAAGUGGUCAAAGGGUGAGCCUCUGUGAGCAGCUUCGCUGGUGCACAGCCAGACUCCCUCUCUGGUUAGAAUAGGGAAAAAGAAACAUAAUACUUUGAGUGCUUAUGAUGUGCCAGGCCUUAUUCUUUGCAUAGACAAUGCAAUCCUGAAAACAAUGCCAUGAGAGUGAUACAGAUAAUGGGAGCAAAGGGAGCCUGUCAAAGGUCACAGAGCUAGGUAAGUUAGAGCUGACUCAAAUAGGCAUUCUCCAUAGCAGUGUACUGCCUCUAAAUUUAAUUUAGGCCAACAAAUAACCUUGUAAGAUAGACAUGGUUUUCUCUAUUUUACAGGUCAGAAAACAGGCUCAGAAAAUUUAGAAAACUAUACAGAAUCACACAGAGCCCCAUACCCAACUUUUAUCUGACUCCAAAACAGGUGUGGAUCCAGGCUAUAUAAGGCCUAAAACUUUCCCAUUUUAGAGGCACCCUUUUAAGAAAAUGUAUAAAAUUAAGCACAGGGUCUUGGAGAGACCAAUCCAAGUGAGGGGUCCUAAAACUGAAGCUGCAUUUGCUUCUUCAGAAAUCCACCUCUGUCCAAUCUGUUCUGACAAUAGAAUAAGCACCAUGACCUCAGAAAAUAUGUAGCACAAUCCUGGGUACUUUACAUCUAUCAUUGCUAAUCCCUGCAACCCUACAAGAUAGAACUUAUUGUCCUAUUUUACAGACGAACCUGGAGCUUAAGGAAGUUAAAUAACCUGUCUGAUACUGCAGAUCUAGCCAUGGCAAUUAUAGAAUCUGAUCCAAGGAAUUUUUCCCAUUAAAAUCCUUGCUAUUUUCAGUCUACUAAGCUAUGGCAAAACUGAAAUCAAUUUUGGUUUGGAAGUUAUUCUCUAUGCAGAUAUUGACUUUUUUUUUUCCGAAUACUGCCCUGCAUCUGAGCCUCCUGGUGCACUUUAAAUAUGGGUCCAUUCAUCACCAUUAACAGUUUUCUUGGUGUCUGUCACUCCAGGGUAAUCUUCUCCUUGUUCCCUUGCCUUAUUCAGAGACAGUGCUGAGAUUUAAGCUGCUCAUUCAUUCUCAGAGACUACUUCAACGCUACCUCCAUAUCAAGAUGGUUCUCUUGCUCUGUUUCUACUAUUACUUCUAACUCCAGCUCACAGGCUUUUCUUAUAACCCUAGGAACAGCAAGCUCUACCAAAGCAAGGUCUCCUCUGCUUCCUCAGACUGCCGACCAGUGCUGAGAACAGGGACACUGAAUAUCUGUGAGCUGAGCGCAUCCAGCCAUCAACUGACUCACUCACUGAAGAACGCUACAUUCUGGGCAUAUCUUCCAUGACAGUCCAGCAGGGUAGCUGUUGGAAAUCCAAACAUGUCCACUCCUGCUUACGACCUCAGUCACCACCUCUUCAUAUGAUUCUUCCAUGGGCUGUUCCUGAGCACCUGAGGGAGAAAAACAAACAGAAACAAACAGGAAAGGGCAGAAUAAUUGAUAUGUGAGAAGGAAAAAGUCAACAGUUGUUGAGACAUAAGUGAAUGUAAGAAACCUAGAUUGUUUGACAUAAUGUCAGUUACUAAAAUAUCACUGCAAAAUGGGCCCAAAGGUACCAGGACCACACACAAAUGAGUCUAGGAGGAAGCAGGAUGUGGGAAAGCAGAGAACACAUAAACAUAUAUCUCUUCCUGCCAAUCCCAAGUUAAUAGUCACUCCUGUUUACACUUUGGUCUUGGCAUGUAAUUGGGAUCUUCCAUUUUGGUUCCCCACCUAACCACCUACUACUUUCUUCCCUCCAAGCCCCAGAGGAAUUCAGAAUCUAAGAAAACAACAUUUCAGCCUUCAUGAUUGGUUGGAGCCAAUCAGCUCUCCAGUUAUCUGUAGUUACAAAGACUUAACAAGAGAGUCCAUUUGUUACCACUGAACAAUUCUUAGGAGGCUCCAGACCCAGACUCGCCUUUCUCUUGCUCUUGAAGAUACAAGAAUACCAGUUCUGACCAAGUGUAAACACUUGUCAAUUCUUGGAAAAGAAAGACCUACUCUGGACUCCAAGCCCAAGGCACUCCAACUAGGUUAAGUAACUUGCCCAGAAACCCACAGAAAAUAAGGAGUCAAAGUGGAGCAAAGGUUCAAAUCCAAGACUUUCUGGAUCCAAAAUGUAUGCUCUUACAUUAGACAGUUGUCUAGUUCCUAAUCACUAAAGAGCUGGUCAGAAUGCUUAUAAAAUUGAACAGAAAGGAAGAGAGUUUGACCAGAUUGAAGUGCUCUUUCAGAUCCUAGGAAUCCUCUUGUAUGUGCUCUAAAUUAUUUUUUAAUUUUUUUAAAAUUCUGAGUCAAGAUUUUGCUCUGUUGCCCAGGCUGGAGUACAGUGACUCAAUUACAGCUUGCUGUGACUUUGAACUCCUGGACUCAACGGAUCCUCCCACUUCAGCCUCCCAAAUAACUAGGACUACAGGUAAGCACCACCAAGCCUGGCUAAUUUUUAAAAAUUAUUUUAACUUUUUUUUGUAGAGAUCGGGUCUCAUUAUCCUGCCCAGGCUGGUCUCCAACUCUUGGCCUGAAGUGACCCUCCUGCCUCGGCCUCCCAAGACAUGUAGGCAUGAGCUACUACACCUGGCCCACAUGAUCUAUUUUUUAAAAAAAAUAUUUCUUCUUACUUCAGGAUCCUAAUUACUGAAUUCUUAUACUUUUAAGAAAUGCAGUGGUUCAAUGCAUACUCCUUGUUUCCCUCUAAUUUGUCCUAUCAAAAUGCUGGCCUUCUGAUUUAAUGAAAUAAUAGUAUGAUGCUACCAUUCUUUGUUUUGUCAACCUAAGCACCUGGUUCUUCUUGACAACUGCACAUUCUGCUACAUGCUGUGAUGACCAGGAGAAUCAUUUAAAUUUUUAUUUGGAGGACUCACUUCCAACUUGGAACACAAGCUGCAAAGGAAUUCCCUACCAGCAUGCCAGCACAUCAUUUGGAAGUUCAAGGUAUUCUUGCUCAACAGCUGCACACACAUUAAAAGUCCCUGGGGUACAUGGCGCCUGCUGCCUGGGGUUGGACUCUGUCGCCGGGGAUUCCAGAAAUUAGAGUAGAAUUCACAGCUCUGCCUCUCCACCUGCUGUGAGGUCUUCAAGUUACAACUCCGCCGCCUAUCAGGGACCUCCGUGAUUAGUAAGGGAGAAAUUGUCAUAUUUUUCUCCCUAGAUCACAGGUCUGAGGAAGCAGUUUCCCCAAGAUUUUGUAAAAGUGGCUUUAUAAUUAAAAACAUUGAUUUUCCUAUUAGAAAGGCUACUAUAUCCUUUGGAAAAAGCUUAGAAGUAGUCCGUGAGUCUUGGCUUCUUGCCGUGGCUCCCCCAGGAUAUGAUCUUGGGCGAGUAACCCAGCAGCCCUGACUCUGCUUCCCCACUUAUUAAACAGGUUACUAACACUGUCCUAUCAGGUAGGACAAUGAGAAGGAAAGAACCAAACAAGAGGAGUAUCAGACGAGACCACCAGACUUAAGAUCUAAAAUCCGGCGUCCUCUGGAGGGCGGAUGAGAAGAGGGGUACACUUGGCGGUCUGGAAAAUGUCCUGGGGCCAGUUUCAGGUUUAGGAGCUUGUGGGUAGCGUGGUUUCCCACACGCUGCCUGGCUUCCUACUCUCCCCCGCAGGGGCUGCCUCUCCUCCCACCCCGGAAGGCCGGCACCGGCUUCCCGCACUCGCUGAAGCCCGCACGGAGGCCGGGUGAGCCUGCCGCGGCCUCCCCCUCCCACGCCCCGACGCCAUGGGCCCUGCUCCUCUCCGCAGACGCUGCCCUCCCGCCUCAGGCCCCGGGCCCCGGGCACCGGGCCCGCCCUGCGUCCUGAACCUCGGCAUCCCGCUCUCCGGUCCACGGGACCCUGCUCUGCGGACCGCCGACCUCUCCGCUCGCGGCUGGCCUCCCUCGGGGCCCGGGCCGGCCAGGCCUGCUCAUUUCCUUGGCGGCCGCUGGCAUAAGGCGGCCACACGGAGGGCCCGGGACAGCGGUCUGAUGGCGCAGCCCCGCCUUGCCCCGGCGCUCUGACCCGGCCAGCGGCCUCACUCACCGCAGCGGCGCGUGCCCGCAGACAAAGGCCGGCGCCGAGCCCGCAGCAGCGCCAGCGCCGGCGCCGGCGGAAUGGACUACAACUCCCAGGAGUCUCCCCGCGAGCCCGCCCGCCGGGCCGUGGGUCUCGGCGGCCCCGGCUUCCCAAGAGCUCUGUGGGAAAUGUAGUUCUCUGGCGCGCCCUGCGCUCGGGCCCCGCAGGUCCCUAGGGCGCGGGGACCUCAAGCCGUCCCGUUUGGACUGGUAAUCCGGAGACUCACAGCGGUGACCUGUCAGCGGACGCGGAGCCGGGACGGAGCCACGGCCGCUCAGAUUAGCAGGAUCUGAUUGACAGCAUCGGGGCUUGAGUGCAGUGGCACGGUGUCGCCUCACUGCAACCUCCGCCUUCUGGGCUCAAGUGAUUCUCCUGCCCCAGCCUCCCAAGUAGCUGGGACUACAGGAUCGGGGCCACAUCCUGGAGCUGUUCUGCCUGGCCGGGUGUAUCUCUGGGUCCCUGCCUCUGGAGCCCCUCUCCGUAGAUGUGUCUGUCCAUCCUCUUUCGUGAAGGACUAAUAAAGAAUGCUUCCUCUUGC